rnacentral:SRP_RNA from 1 species
CCCAAGGGUGUUGGAAUACACCUGUAAUCCUAGCUAACUGGAGGGGCUGAAGCUAGCAGGUCUCUUGAACUGGGGAGUUCUGAGCUAUAGUGAGCUAACCUAACUGGGUAUCCCCACUGUGUUCAGCAUUAAUAUGGUGAGCCUUCAGGAGUGGGAGGCCACCAGAUUGCCUAAGGAGGGGCAAAGCAGCCCAGGUCAGAAACAGAGUAGGCCAAAGCUUCCAUGCCCAUCAAUAGUGGAAUCAGGUUGGUGAGAGGCCACUGCACUUCUAGCCUAGGCAAGAGAUU